rnacentral:rRNA from 1 species
AUGAACGCUGGCGGCGUGCCUAAUACCUGCAAGUCGAGCGAACGGACGAGAAGCUUGCUUCUCUGAUGUUAGCGGCGGACGGGUGAGUAACACGUGAAUAACCUACCUAUAAGACUGGGAUAACUUCGGGAAACCGGAGCUAAUACCGGAUGAUAUUUUGAACCGCAUGGUUCAAAAGUGAAAGACGGUCUUGCUGUCACUUAUAGAUGGAUCCGCGCUGCAUUAGCUAGUUGGUAAGGUAACGGCUUACCAAGGCAACGAUGCAUAGCCGACCUGAGAGGGUGAUCGGCCACACUGGAACUGAGACACGGUCCAGACUCCUACGGGAGGCAGCAGUAGGGAAUCUUCCGCAAUGGGCGAAAGCCUGACGGAGCAACGCCGCGUGAGUGAUGAAGGUCUUCGGAUCGUAAAACUCUGUUAUUAGGGAAGAACAUAUGUGUAAGUAACUGUGCACAUCUUGACGGUACCUAAUCAGAAAGCCACGGCUAACUACGUG